rnacentral:lncRNA from 1 species
GUUCAGUCGGCCCAUCCGUGGACACCAUAAAAACAAAGAGAAAACAGACACACACAGAUGCACACAUAGAUACACACAGAUACACACAGACACGGAUAUAUAGACACACACAGAUACACACACGUGGACACAGACACACACAUAGACACAGAUAUAUAGACACACACAGAUACACACACGUGGACACAAACACACACAGACAUACCCAUAGUUACGGAUAUAUGCAUGGAUACACAAUACACAGACACACAGAUGAUACAUGCAUAGACAGAUAUAUGGACACACACACACGGACACACAGAUACACACAUAGACACAUAGACAGACACAGAUACAGACACAGGCACAUGUAGACACACAUGGACAUACAAUACUCAGAUGAACACAGAGAUAAUAUACACAUAGACACAGAUCUAUAGAUACACAAAGACAUACACACAGAUAUACAUAGAUGCACACAUAGACACAGAUACACAUGUCAUCACACAUGGACACACACAGACACACACCAAUACACACAUAGACAUACGAAGACACAGGUACACAGACACGUAUACACACAGACACGCAUAUAUACAUACAGACGCAGAUAUACACACAGACACAGACAUACACACACACACAGACACAGAUAUACACAGAUACAUGGACAGAUACACAUUCACAUACACACAUAGAUACACAGAAACACACAGACACACAGACACAUAGAGACACACACACAGCCACACAGGCCCUGAGCCUCCCUGGGCCCUCCCUUGUGCAGAGGCGGAGGGGCUGGCUGUCGGGGAGGGCACCUGGAGAGGACACACAGCCCCAUCAGAGACCAGGGAGUGGCUCUGGGAGCUCUUUUCGUCCAAAGGGGCUGGAGCUCCAGUUAGCCAAGGUGAGGGCGUGGAGGAUUCCUGGGGGAAGCUUCGUGCUGCAAGGUGGAAAAGACAGAUAACAAGAGAAAAACAGAAGCUUAAUAGCAUGUAUACCUUGGUCUGCAAGGGACGGACUCGGGACAGGCUAUGUCGCAAAGGCGUGGCUUGGAGCUCAGCCUUAAAGACCAUGUUCGACGGAAACAAAGAGAAAGAGUGUGUGGGGAGGGGCCCAAGAAAUUACCCCAAACUGGGGUCAGGCCUUCUCCAUGGAUGAGCGUCUCCGGUGACUUACAGGCGGCCUUCUGGCCCAGAGAGGGGGCACCCUGGUGAGCGCAGAUGCCUGUACGGAUGUGACUUUCUCUCAUAGAACAGCAGCUUCCACUCUUGUUUUCAGAAUUUCUCCUGUGGUUGCAGUUUCUCAAAAUAAGCAGCUCAAAAUAAUGCUUAUGCCAAAGAGGCAUAUUUUGGGGUGGCAUAUUCUGGUCUGCUCUACGUGGAAGCGGACAGAAAAAUGGGGCAGAGGCCAGGGAGGGGAGCGGGACCGACUUCCAGUUCCCAGACCCGAGCAAGGGAACCUGAGGCCGAGCUCUGGA